rnacentral:rRNA from 1 species
AGAGUUUGAUCCUGGCUCAGAUUGAACGCUAGCGGGAUGCUUUACACAUGCAAGUCGAACGGCAGCACGAGGAAGUUUACUUCUUUGGUGGCGAGUGGCGGACGGGUGAGUAAUGUAUCGGAACGUGCCCAGUAGUGGGGGAUAACUACGCGAAAGCGUAGCUAAUACCGCAUAUUCUCUUCGGAGGAAAGGGGGGGAUCAUUUGACCUCUCGCUAUUGGAGCGGCCGAUAUCAGAUUAGUUAGUUGGUGGGGUAACGGCCUACCAAGGCAGUGAUCUGUAGCUGGUUUGAGAGGACGACCAGCCACACUGGGACUGAGACACGGCCCAGACUCCUACGGGAGGCAGCAGUGGGGAAUUUUCGACAAUGGGGGAAACCCUGAUCGAGCCAUCCCGCGUGUGGGACGAAGGCCUUCGGGUUGUAAACCACUUUUCUUAGCGAAGAAAAGUCUUAGGCUAAUACCUUAAGACGCUGACGGUAGCUAAGGAAUAAGCAUCGGCUAACUACGUGCCAGCAGCCGCGGUAAUACGUAGGAUGCAAGCGUUUAUCGGAAUUACUGGGCGUAAAGGGUGCGCAGGCGGCUUGAAAAGAACGGUGUGAAAUCCCGGGGGCUCAACCCCGGAACUGCACUAUAAACUAUCAAGCUAAAGUAUGUCAAAGGGGGGUGGAAUUCCGCGUGUACCAGUGAAAUGCUUAAAUAGGCGGAGGAACCCCAUGGGGAAGGGCGCCCCCCGGGGGAUAUACUGAACCCCCAGGGCCAAAAGGGGGGGGUAACAAA